rnacentral:rRNA from 1 species
GGGACCCGCACAAGCAGCGGAGCGUGUGGUUUAAUUCGAUGCUACACGAAGAACCUUACCAGGGUUUGACAUGCAAGUGGUAGGAAACUGAAAGGGGACCGACCCUUCGGGGAGCUUGCACAGGUGCUGCAUGGCUGUCGUCAGCUCGUGUCGUGAGAUGUUCGGUUAAGUCCGCUAACGAGCGCAACCCUCACUGUGUGUUAUAUGUGUCACACGGGACUGCCGGUUUUAAGCCGGAGGAAGGUGGGGAUGACGUCAAGUCAGCAUGGCCUUUAUAUCCUGGGCUACACACACGCUACAAUGGUCGGUACAAUAGGUUGCCAAGCCGCGAGGCGGAGCCAAUCCAUAAAAGCCGGCCUCAGUUCAGAUUGUAGGCUGCAACUCGCCUGCAUGAAGAUGGAGUUGCUAGUAACCGCAGGUCAGCAAUACUGCGGUGAAUACGUUCCCGGGUCUU